CCUACGGGAGGCAGCAGUGAGGAAUAUUGGUCAAUGGGCGCGAGCCUGAACCAGCCAAGUCGCGUGAGGGAAGACGGUCCUAUGGAUUGUAAACCUCUUUUGUCGGGGAGCAAAAGACGCCACGCGUGGCGUUCCGAGCGUACCCUAAGAAAAAGCAUCGGCUAACUCCGUGCCAGCAGCCGCGGUAAUACGGAGGAUGCGAGCGUUAUCCGGAUUUAUUGGGUUUAGGGGGUGCGCAGGCGGAAGAUCAAGUCAGCGGUAAAAUUGAGGGGCUCAACCUCUUCGAGCCGUUGAAACUGGCAGUCUAGAGUUGGAGAGAAGUAUGCGGAAUGCGCGGUGUAGCGGUGAAAUGCAUAGAUAUCGCGCAGAACUCCGAUUGCGAAGGCAGCAUGCCGGCUCCACACUGACGCUGAGGGACGAAAGCGUGGGUAUCGAACAGGAUUAGAUACCCCAGUAGUC
rnacentral:rRNA from 1 species